rnacentral:rRNA from 1 species
GACGAACGCUGGCGGCGUGCUUAACACAUGCAAGUCGAACGGAAAGGCCCUGCUUGCAGGGUGCUCGAGUGGCGAACGGGUGAGUAACACGUGGGUGAUCUGCCCCUUAUUUUGGGAUAAGCCUGGGAAACUGGGUCUAAUACUGGAUAGGACCAUGCUGUAGGUGGUGUGGUGGAAAGAUUAGUUUCGGUAAGGGAUGAGCUCGCGGCCUAUCAGCUUGUUGGUGGGGUAAUGGCCUACCAAGGCGUCGACGGGUAGCCGGCCUGAGAGGGUGGACGGCCACAUUGGGACUGAGAUACGGCCCAGACUCCUACGGGAGGCAGCAGUGGGGAAUAUUGCACAAUGGGCGCAAGCCUGAUGCAGCGACGCCGCGUGGGGGAUGACGGCCUUCGGGUUGUAAACCCCUUUCAGCCAUGACGAAGCCCUUGUGGUGACGGUAGUGGUAGAAGAAGCACCGGCUAACUACGUG